rnacentral:rRNA from 1 species
CGGACGGGUGAGUAAUGUCUGGGAAACUGCCUGAUGGAGGGGGAUAACUACUGGAAACGGUAGCUAAUACCGCAUAAUGUCUACGGACCAAAGAGGGGGACCUUAGGGCCUCUUGCCAUCGGAUGUGCCCAGAUGGGAUUAGCUAGUAGGUGGGGUAACGGCUCACCUAGGCGACGAUCCCUAGCUGGUCUGAGAGGAUGACCAGCCACACUGGAACUGAGACACGGUCCAG